GGCUAGGUGGCGGAGUGGUUAACGCGGUAGACUCGAAAAUUCCUGCAAUUUAAUCAGGAGUUUCUAGUUAUCUACUUCCUUCGGGAGCGUCUGUUCGAAUCAGGCCCUAGUCG
rnacentral:tRNA from 1 species